GUGGCUGCUUUGCAGUAAUUGAAAUCACAGAAAGCAAACAACGUAGCUUGCAAGACUGGGCGCUUGAAACGACCGCGGGAAGAGGAAGCGUUUGGCGAAGCGGCAGUUUGCGCAAGCAAACGGGCGCGGAUUCGGUAGUGCAACGUAUACAGCACCUUUUUCAGAGUAAAGUCAAAUUACAAAGUUGCGCAAAGUAUAACAUACAUAAACUUAAUUAAACAUAAGAACAGAUAAGACGUUUAGAGCCUUGUCGGUGACAUGGACACCGCUGUUGGCUUGGAAGAGCUAUUUGCUGUGCAUAGGGACGUGCCCGCGUUAGCCGUGUUGCAACAGCUCAGGAUGGAUUUCAGCCAGCAACAGCCUCAAGAGCUGCUGCACAACCACCGGGAAUGUCUUCAGUUGGGCACGUGUAGUUUGGUCGGCGGGGUCGAGUAUCGUACGGAUUGCGCACAGAAACCAAGGUGCAGCGUCUCUGUAACACCGCCAACAUAUCCGGUACGCGGUGGCAGGCUUGCCGAGCAUGAAAUGAAGGGGGGGUCGCAUCUCACCAUUCAACUAAGCAUGCAUGUGCUCGGUUGAAUGCUCGGUAGCGUGCGAGUUUACCCCUAUCAGGAUGUUUGUUUGCAUAUCCCUCCAGCGAGAGGGCUUAGACCUAUGCUGAUGUUCGUUCCAAGAAGUGAACUGAGGACUGAUGCUACGGUGAAAGGUAUGCACGUCAAUUCGCCCGUGCGCCAAACACCCUGUAACUCGCUUACGCUAAUCUCACAUUCCAAUAUGCCACUGCACUUUCCUCUGCAGCCUGGCCCCAUUCUCUUCCUCGCAAACGUACUUGGGCACCUUACAAUCCAACACCAUACAUGCUUUGGAAACGCGGGCAGCUGCUUCACAAGGACCCCCCUAUUUUGUUAAGCAGCCCCUCGCAGAAAUGUGAGGGGUCGUACUCUGCCGAAUAAACAGACCGUACAAAAUGGCCCAAAGACAGUCCCGAAUUUUAACGCGCGGAUGCGCGCGUGCGAUUCGCAAAAUGCGCGUGUACAAUUGUAUAUAAAUUUUCUUAGAAGAAACACCGCGGUGCGCCAGCGCGAAUCGCAGGAAGGCAUGCUGGCCACAGGCGCACGCGGCAUGCAGCCCGAACAAUGGGAUGCCUGCUUUGCUGUAAUUGAAAGCACAGAAAGCAAACAACGUGGCUUGCAAGACUGGGCGCUUGAAACGACCGCGGGAAGAGGAAGCGUUUGGCGAAGCGGCAGUUUGCGCAAGCAAACGGGCGCGGAUUCCGUAGCGCAACGCAUACAGCACCUUUUUCAGAGUAAAGUCAAAUUACAAGGUUGCGCAAAGUAUAACAUACAUAAACUUAAUUAAACAUAAGAACAGAUAAGACGUUUAGAGCCUUGUCGGUGACAUGGACGCCGCUGUUGGCUUGGAACAGCUAUUUGCUGUGCAUAGGGACGUGCCCGCGUUAGCCGUGUUGCAACAGCUCAGGAUGGAUUUCAGCCAGCAACAACCUCAAGAGCUGCUGCACAACCACCGGGAAUGUCUUCAGUUGGGCACGUGUAGUUUUGGUCGGCGGGGUCGCAUUGCGCACAGAAACCAAGGUGCAGCGUCUCUGUAACAUCGCCAACAUAUCCGGUACGCGGUGGCAGGCUUGCCGAGCACGAAAUGAAGGGGGGGUCGCAUCUCACCAUUCAACUAAGCAUGCAUGUGCUCGGUUGAAUGCUCGGUAGCGUGCGAGUUUACCCCUAUCAGGAUGUUUGUUUGCAUAUCCCUCCAAGCGAGAGGGCUUGGACCUAUGCUGAUGUUCGUUCCAAGAAGUGAACUGAGGACUGAUGCUACGUAAAUUCGCCCGUGCGCCAAACGCCCUGUAACUCGCUUACGCUAAUCUCACAUUCCAAUAUGCCACUGCACUUUCCUCUCCAGCCUGGCCACAUUCUCUUCCUCGCAAACGUACUUGGGCACCUUACAAUCCAACACCAUACGUGCUUUGGAAACGCGGGCAGCUGCUUCACAAGGACCCCCCUAUUUUUGUUAAGCAGCCCCUCGCAGAAAUGUGAGGGGUCGUACUCUGCCGAAUAAACAGACCGUACAAAAUGGCCCAAAGACAGUCCCGAAUUUUAACGCGCGGAUGCGCGCGUGCGAUUCGCAAAAUGCGCGUGUACAAUUGUAUAUAAAUUUUCUUAGAAGAAACACCGCGGUGCGCCAGCGCGAAUCGCAGGAAGGCAUGCUGGCCACAGGCGCACGCGGCAUGCAGCCCGAACAAUGGGUGGAUGCUUUGCAGUAACUAAAAGCACCGAAAGCCAACGUCGUAGCUUGCAACUCUGGGCUCGUGAAACUGCCGCGGAAGAUGAAGCGCUGGCGAAGAGGCAGUUGUAUGCAGCACCUUGUUCAGAGUAAAGUCAAAUUACAAAGUUGCGCAAAGUAUAUCAUACAUAAACUUAAUCAAACAUAAGAACAGAUAAGACGUUUAGAGCCUUGUCGGUGACAUGGACACCGCUGUUGGCUUGGAACAGCUAUUUGCUGUGCAUAGGGACGUGCCCGUGUGCAACAGCUCAGGAUGGAUUUCAGCCAGCAACAGCCUCAAGAGCUGCUGCACAACCACCGGGAAUGUCUUCUGUUGGGCACGUGUAGUUUUGGUCGGCGGGGUCGAGCAGCGUACGCAUUGCGCACAGAAACCAAGGUGCAGCGUCUCUGUAACAUCGCUAACAUAUCCGGUACGCGGUGGCAGGCUUGCCGAGCACGAAAUGAAGGGGGGGUCGCAUCCCACCAUUCAACUAAGCAUGCAUGUGCUCGGUUGAAUGCUCGGUAGCGUGCGAGUUUACCCCUAUCAGGAUGUUUGUUUGCAUAUCCCUCCAAGCGAGAGGGCUUGGACCUAUGCUGAUGUUCGUUCCAAAAAGUGAACUGAGGACUGAUGCUACGGUGAAAGGUAUGCACGUUAAUUCGCCCGUGCGCCAAACGCCCUGUAACUCGCUUACGCUAAUCUCACAUUCCAAUAUGCCACUGCACUUUCCUCUCCAGCCUGGCCACAUUCUCUUCCUCGCAAACGUACUUGGUCACCUUACAAUCCAACACCAUACGUGCUUUGGAAACGCGGGCAGCUGCUUCACAAGGACCCCCCUAUUUUUUCUUUUCCCUAUCGACGGCGCUGUCAAGUUCGUUUGGGCCGUACGGCUCGCUGAAGCUUGUAACAUCCAUCCAUCCAUCCAUCCAUCCAGUAUUUACUCGUCGAGGAGACAAUACCUGCAUGCUUUUCACGUGGUUCGCGUGCAAUGUCACUGGAAUCUGGUGUUUGCUGGUGAGCAGAAUAACCGUGCAUGCAUUGGCCAGCUUUUGCGUCAAUCGGCGUUCUGAGUCGGAUCCAUUUACGAACAUUGCAGGCACCGUUGCUUCGGUUGCGUUGGCUUCUUACGAAUUCAAAAGUUUCGCCAAUAUUUUCGGGUGUAAUUUUGAGGGUGUCUCGAACAAUAAAAAGACGAACAUUUCCUGUCACUACGGUGUAUGGUUUUAUAACAUAUACCUCAUCAUAGUGCACAGUCAGAACUAGUAUGUAACGUGCUCGUAACGUGCUCGUAACGUAAGC
rnacentral:lncRNA from 1 species